GGCGAGAGUAGAAGCGUUCAGUUCGGCCCCAAGGCACGGCGACCCCGCCCGGCCGGCGGGGCCGGCGGGUCAUUGCUCUUGAA
rnacentral:ncRNA from 1 species